rnacentral:lncRNA from 1 species
AGAAAAAAAACUAAUUUUGCCCAAUGUCCUUCUAAUUGCUUCUCUGUCUUAUACUAUUAGGAAAAAAAUUGCAACUUUUAAAGACUCUUCUUUUGUAAAUCUUGGCUUCCGGAUGGCUGCAUUAUUUCUUCCCCUUUCCCUUCCCUUCCCUUCCCAUCUGUCUCCUCUUCCUCUUCCUCUCCCUCUCCAAAAGAAACAAGAAAAAAGGAAGAAGAAAAAGAAGCAAGCCUUGGCUUUUGACUUGGUGAUGGGCAGUGGAAUUGUUCCCAGCAAUUAAUCCCCUUUUUUGGUUCUCAAAGAGAGAUUCAUUCAUACCAAGAAAGGAGCAGGAAACAGUUGCUUGUUGAAUCUCCCCUCACCUCACUUUUUUUUUUUUUUGCUCAAAAAUUUCCCAUCUUUGUUCGUGGGCGUGGGCGUGGGCGUGGGCGUUGGGAGAAGAGACAAGAGGGAAGAGGGCGCCAUGGCGAAGAAGGAGGGACCUUGCGGCCAUUGCGGAGUCACAAGUGAGCGAGCUCCCCCAGUUUUCUUCUUGACCGAAUCUUAAAUUUCCCCUCCCCUCUCUGGGGAUUCUGCAUCUGGGAAGCGGGCGGCAUCUGGGAUCCUAAUCCUCGCUUCUUCUUUGGAUUCAAUAUGGAUACGGUUGAGGUCUAGAACCNNNNNNN